rfam:Ictidomys tridecemlineatus contig014972, whole genome shotgun sequence.
UGGGUUGUGGCUCAGUGGUAGAGCAUUUGCUUGGCAUGCAUGAGGCACUGGGUUUGAUACCCGGUACCACAU